UGCAAAAUAUAGAUGAGUAUCUCACACUACAGUCGAGGCUUCAGCAUAUGUUCACUUUAACUAGUGAAAGAACUCUGUGAAUCUCCAGUGAAGCACAAUCAAUAAUUCAGAAUCUGCAUUUUUUUUUUUUUUAGGGGAAAAGGUGGUGAAAAUGAAACUCUUUCAUUUUCUAGCAGUGAUCUUGUUUUUACUUGACCACGGUGUUCCUGCUCAAUUGCUGGGAGAAGAUGUGACUUUAUAUACUGAUCUGACAGAACCACGUGAUAUGAUUACAUGGUAUUUUAAUGGCAUUCUCAUCGCUCAGAUCAACGGAUAUCUCAGCUAUACCUGUCCAGAUGUUCAGUGUGAUAAUAGUACAGAGACAUUCAGAGACAGAUUGAAGCUGGAUCAACAGACUGGAUCUCUGACCAUCACAAACAGCAGAAUCACCGACUCUGGAGAAUAUAGUGUAGAGAUCAUCAACGACGACAUCUUCACUGAAAGGCUCUUCACUGUUACCGUCACUGGUACUGAAAGAGAAUCAGAUGCUGGAACUGUUGCUAUCGUUGUUGUUUUAGUGAUUGUAAAAGUAUGUUUAAUUGGAGCUCUGUGGUACCGCAGGUGCAGUCGACUUGCACAAGGAAUUCAGAAUGGCAA